GUGAGGAAUUUUCCGCAAUGGGCGAAAGCCUGACGGAGCAAUGCCGCGUGAAGGAUGAAGGCCUAUGGGUUGUAAACUUCUUUUCUUAGAGAAGAAUAUUGACGGUAUCUGAGGAAUAAGCAUCGGCUAACUCUGUGCCAGCAGCCGCGGUAAGACAGAGGAUGCAAGCGUUAUCCGGAAUGAUUGGGCGUAAAGCGUCUGUAGGUGGCUUCAAAAGUCUCCUGUCAAAGAUCAGGGCUUAACCCUGGGCCGGCAGGAGUAACUCUGAGGCUAGAGUUUGGUAGGGGCAGAGGGAAUUCCCGGUGGAGCGGUGAAAUGCGUAGAGAUCGGGAGGAACACCAAAGGCGAAAGCACUCUGCUGGGCCACAACUGACACUGAGAGACGAAAGCGAGGGGCGCAAAAGUGAUUAGAAACCCCUGUAGUCC
rnacentral:rRNA from 1 species